rnacentral:lncRNA from 1 species
CCCCAGCCUUGACGGCCAUGCCCUGGCACUGUUACCCAUGGGUCCUCCUCCAGGCCCUGUGACGGACACACCCUGGCAUUGUCACCCGUGGGUCCUCCCCCCAUCCCCGUGAAGGCCACAGCCCGGCACUGUGUUUACCUGUGGGUCCCAGACCUGCACCUGCAGGAGAGAUUUUCUUCCUCUCUCUCACACUGAGGCCUCUGAUGGAGGAGGUCGAUGUCUGUGCCUUCAUUCUCCUGAGCCCCUGCCAUCUGACACCGUCGUCAUCUCUGCCUGGGGGAUGUCCGGCAAGGACCACAGCUGACAUGCACGAGUCUGAUGGCCGGGUCUCGUGUCACUGGGUGAAUGCUGCAGAAUCAAGGCAGGGGCGUUGCUUGCUGUCCUGGAAGCUGAUUCGUCAGAGACUUUGUCUUUUCUUGAUUCUUCACUCCCAGUUCCCACGGCUCAACAUGUGUUUGCCUCCAUUCUUCUUUUGGAAGACCAGACUUCCCAGGGGUCUUGAUUCCUCAUUCUACGUGCUCAUAGUCAAGGACCUGCAGGUGCAUGAUGACACACACUUGUACCCUGAGCCUCUACAUCCAGGGCAACUCGCUCUGAGAGCACAGUACCUCCUUAGCCCACGUGCCUUCCACAGCCGGUGUGGCCUGCUGGGAUUCUUCAGGCAGGAGCACAGGUGCCUUCUGGAGAAGGCGCAAAAUGAGCAGGUGCUGACAUGAUCUCACAGGUUUACAAAGUUCUGGUUAAAUAAAUAGAUCUUCG